GCAGAGGUAGUGAUGUGAGCCUGUAAUCCUAAUUACUUGGGAGGCUGAGACAAGAGGAUUGCUUGAGCCUGGGAGUUCUGGGCUGUAGUGUGCUAUGCUGUUCUGGAGUCUGAACUUAGUGGCAUCAAUAUGGUGACCUCCCAAGAGUGGGUGAUCACCAGAUUGCCUAAUCAGGGGUGAACCUGCCCAGGUAGGAAACAGAGCAGGUUAAAACUCUUGUGCUGAUCAAUAGUGGGAUCAUACCUGUGAAUAGCCAUUUGUGCUACAGCCUGGGCAACAUAGUUAAGACCCCAUCUUUA
ensembl:misc_RNA Metazoa_SRP Metazoan signal recognition particle RNA